UGUUAUAUAUUUAUAUUUUGUACCUCCCUUUACUCCCCAAUUUCGUGAUAUUCAUUUACGAUCUUGUCUCAUCGCUGUAACUCCCCAACGGGAUCGGGAGAGGUGAAGGUCCAGUCAUGUGUCUUAACACCCACUCGAUUGAACGCUAGGAAACACAGAUCAACUGACGACCAAGUCAGCUUGCCGGUUGCCCGAUUAACCUGGAUGCUAGGAAACACAGAUCAACUGACGACCAAGUCAGCUUGCAGGUGCCCGAUUAACCUGGACGGUAGGAGACACAGAUCAACUGACGACCAAGUCAGCUUGCAGACCCGUCACAAGGAGUCACUAGAGCGCGAUGAGCCAAGUAAAGCGCCCCCGGCCAAACCCUCCCCUAACCUGGACGACACUGGGCCAAUUGUGCCAUCUAUCGGACUCCCGGUCACUGCUGGUUGUGAUACGAGUACCAGGCUUUGAUGGCACUGCAACACUGAGAUUCAGUGCUUUAAACUGCUGCACUGCUCGGGACUGUUACUCUAACUGUUUUAGUCAUUAUUGGCCUCAUGGUGAAAUUCCUGAGUGGUUUCCUUCCUCUCCGGCAGCUGAGUUGGGUUUGAUGCCUGUAUCUUUAUAGUGACUGGGUGCAUUGAUACACCAUCCAAAGUAGAAUUAAUAACUUUACCAUGCUCAAAGGGAUAUUCAAGGUCUGCUUUUUCCUCAUUUUUACCCAUCUACCAAUGAGUGCCCUUCUUUGAGGCCUUGGAAAACCUCGGUGGUCUUUGGUUGAAUCUGUUUGAUAUUCACUGCUCGACUGAGGGACCUUACAGAUAAUUGUAUGUCUAGGGUGUACACGGAUUAAGUAGUUGUUAAACACUAUUAUUGCGCACAGAGUGAGUCCAUGCAACUUAUUAUGUGAUUUAAGCACAUUUUUACUCCUGAACUUAUUUCGGCUUGUCAUAACAAAGGGGUUGAAUACUUAUUGACAUUUCAGCUUUUCAUUUUUUAAAAUUAUUUAUUGUUACUUACACUAUACAUACAUGUGGCCAACUGUUACGAACACUACAUGCUGUGUCCUAUUGUGUAGUCUAGCUUUACACUGUGUUAAUAACACAGCUUUACACUGUGUUAAUAACACUAUACAUGAUGUGUCCUGCUGUGUAGUCUAGCUUUAUACUGUGUUACUAACACUAUACAUGAUGUGUCCUGCUGUGUAGUCUAGCUUUAUACUGUGUUAAUAACACUAUACAUACUGUGUCCUGCUGUGUAGUCUAGAUUUAUACUGUGUUACUAACACUAUACAUGCUGUGUAGUCUAGCUUUACACUGUGUUACUAACACUACAUGCUGUGUCCUGCUUCUAGAGCCGCUGACCGCGGUACACGCAUACCAGUCGGCAUGGGUUCAAAUCCCACCCAGGGCUCUUCUGACUCACACCUGGCCUUCUCUUCUCUCCACUGUUCCAUCUGUUUUAGAGAACUAUGUGUGAGAAUUAACGCUGAAUGAUAAGAAAUGGCUACCACUGAUCUGCCUUGUUAGCCUGGGAAAUGGGUAACGCCUUGAUCUGCCUUGUUAGCCUGGGAAAUG